rnacentral:rRNA from 1 species
UGACUAGAGUUUGAUCCUGGCUCAGGACGAACGCUGGCGGCGCGCUUAACACAUGCAAGUCGAGCGAGAACCUGGGCUUCGGCCCAGGGGACAGCGGCGAACGGGUGAGUAACACGUGGGUAAUCUGCCCUUGACAUCGGGAUAGCCCGGGGAAACCCGGAUUAAUACCGAAUAGCCUCCGGAGCCCUCGGGCGUCGGAGAAAAGGUAGCUUCGGCCUCUGGUCAAGGAUGAGCCCGCGGCGGAUUAGCUUGUUGGCGGGGUAACGGCCCACCAAGGCAACGAUCCGUAGCUGGUCUGAGAGGACGAUCAGCCACACUGGGACUGAGACACGGCCCAGACUCUUACGGGAGGCAGCAGUGGGGAAUCUUGCCCAAUGGGCGAAAGCCUGAGGCAGCGACGCCGCGUGCGGGAAGAAGGCCUUCGGGUUGU